GCCGAAGUAGCUCAGGGGUAGAGCACUUCCUUGGUAAGGAAGAGGUCGAGGGUUCAAAUCCCUUCUUUGGCU
rnacentral:tRNA from 1 species